CAGCAGCCGCGGUAAAACGGAGGAUCCAAGCGUUAUCCGGAAUCAUUGGGUUUAAAGGGUCCGUAGGCGGUCUUGUAAGUCAGUGGUGAAAGCCCAUCGCUCAACGGUGGAACGGCCAUUGAUACUGCAGGACUUGAAUUAUUGGGAAGUAACUAGAAUAUGUAGUGUAGCGGUGAAAUGCUUAGAGAUUACAUGGAAUACCAAUUGCGAAGGCAGGUUACUACCAAUUGAUUGACGCUGAUGGACGAAAGCGUGGGUAGCGAACAGGAUUAGAUACCCGCGUAGUCCCUGUCUCUUAUAC
rnacentral:rRNA from 1 species